UGUGAGGGUGAGUGUGUAGCAGAAAAAA
rnacentral:piRNA from 1 species